GACAGAGGUCCCGAGCGUUAGGCGGAAUCACUGGGCUUAAAGCGUGUGUAGGCGGCGGCCUAAGUCCCUUGUGAAAUCCCACGGCUCACCCGUGGAACUGCUCGGUAUACUGGGUCGCUUGAGCCACGUAGGGGCUACCGGAACAAAUGGUGGAGCGGUGAAAUGCGUAGAUAUCAUUUGGAACGCCAAUGGUGAAAACAGGUAGCUGGGAGUGUGCUGACGCUGAGACACGAAAGCCAGGGGAGCAAACGGG
rnacentral:rRNA from 1 species